UUAAUAAAAUGUUUAUAUAAUUAUUAAUAUGAGCACUUUUCUUAAGGGACAAAAUUGAUACACAUGAACAUUUUUUCAUUGGUUAUAAUUAAAUAUUAUAAUUGUCUGCACCUACAUUAUAAAAUAUUUUGACUUCUCAAGAAAUUUAAAAUUUAAAAAAAUAAUUGUUCUAACUAUUUAUCAAAUAAUGAAUAUUUUAUGCUAAUUUUUUCACCAAAAGGCCGUCCCGUUUACAAUUUGGACUACAUCUCAGUACCUGUGAAAUUGGAAUCGCGUCCCGUUUCUUUAAUAAUGAAUAUUUUACGCUAUUUUUUUCACCAAAAGGUGCUCUGUGUUUGGUUGACGAGACUAUUGUAGUAUCGUAUAUGCAACUGCUACACUAUAAUAUUAUAUAAUAUUGACUGCUG